rnacentral:lncRNA from 1 species
CGUCACCAUGUCGUCAUCCCCCGUCGUCGUCGAGCACGUCGUCCUCUUCAACGUCAAACCCGACACCGACCCCUCCAAGGUCAACUCCAUGGUCAACGGCCUCAACAACCUCACCUCCCUCGAUCUCACCCUCCACCUCACCGCCGGUCCUCUCCUCCGCACCCGCUCCUCCCCCUUCGCCUUCACCCACCUCCUCCACAGCCGCUACAGCUCCAAAGACUCCCUCGCCGCCUACUCCGCCCACCCCGGUCACCUCAGCGUCGUCAAGGAGUCAGUUCUCCCGAUCUGCGAUGACGUCAUGGCCGUUGACUGGGUCGCCGACGGGCUGACUGGUCCGGUGGGGUUGGCCCCCGGGUCGGCGAUCCGGGUCACGUUUUUGAAGGUGAAGGAGGGCUUGGAUGAGGCGGCGAAGGGUGAGAUUUUGGAGGUGAUUAAAGGGAUUAAGGGGAAGUUUGGAGAGGUGGGGCAGAUUAGCGUUGGUGAGAACUUCUCCCCGGCAAGGGCUAAAGGGUAUUCGAUUGCGUCUGUGGCGGUUUUCAAGGGAGUGAGUGAGAUGGAGGCUGUGGAUUCGAAAGAGGAGCUUGCGAAGCUGGAGAAGGACAAGGUUAGGGAGUAUUUGGAGAGUGUUAUUGUUCUUGAUUACGUUGUUCCUUCGCCGCAAUCUGCUAGUCUCUGAAAUUUUUCGGAUUCGGGUAAUUCACAUUCUCCUUCCUGAAGUAGGAGUAAUGAGUAAUGUAAUUUAGUGUUGGUGAAAUAAGGUGUUACUGAGAAUUUGGCUGGAAUUUGGUUUCGGGUGUUGGAAAUUCUCAACACUCUGGCUAAACUGUAUCACAUUGAUGGUUGAUGCAUUUCUUCAAUUUCAAUUGCAUUCCUAAUUUGGUGAGAUGCGUUUGCUGAUGUUUGAAACCUUCCUUCCAUUAUUGUACAUUUAUAGACAUCGAUUAUGUUGUUAGACUUAGGUGCCUCAGGGUUUGCUCUCUUGGUAUGAAAGUUGCAUAAGGUCAUAUGACAUAGUUUCAGAUACCGUCAGUAAGGAUACAGGGUGGUGCAAGAGCAUAUGCCCCUAUAAAGAAGGCUAAACUAAUAUUUAGACUCUGAAAGUGACACUUUUCAUCAAUGUACUUUGGUUUCUUGCACUGUGGGCUUCAUCCAUCAACUAUACAUGGCUGAUGUAGCUUGUGACUUUGUGAGCACCCUGUUUAGGCUUCUUUACAGCUCUGUUCAGUUAAAUUUUUGCGCAGUGUGCGUUAUAUUGGGGUGAGGUUAUGGUGCAUUGUUUCAUACAAUAGGGAGGUGCCGAGGUGGUUCGGUUAAACCCAACAUGAUAAUGAAGGCAAUCAAAAGGUUAAAUCGUUUUUGAUUUUGCUGUGUUUUGUCAUGAAUCAUUCUCGAAAAUAGACGGACAAGAAUGACGGUUUCUGUGUCCUGAUUUACGCUGAGAAUCACCUUCUUCUAUGCCCUAAGGUAAGGGAAGUUAACUCCACUAUCAUGGUUUUGGAAGAGUGGGGAUGAACUAUUCUCGUCCGUUCUAUCUCCCUGCAUACUUUGCUUGCAACCAUUCUCGUACUAGCUACAACCAUCUACGAGUACAUUGGUCGUUUUGCCGCCUCCAUUGUCACCAUUCAUGGCUGAACUGAAAGCCAGUUAGACAAGCACACUUAACUUGGGCCUGGACUUGUCCAUGAUGAAUUCCGAUGUCAAGAGACUAAGAAGAUGGACAAAUAAAGAUAAAGAUGGUCAGUAAAUUUGUAUCCUCCCGCCUACCGCCAUCUCUAUAAGUAAACCCAGGUCACUACUCACUAAACCCACUCGCCAGUACUCCAAGCUCAUUUGAUUUCUCACUCUCUCACCUCCAAACCCCACCGCACUUUCGCAUCAGCAUGUCGUCGUCGUCGGCCGCCCAAUCCGUCGUCGAGCACAUAGUCCUCUUCAAGCUGAAAGACAACACCGACCCCUCCAAGGUCAACGCCUGGGUCGACGGCCUCAACGCCCUGAGCUCACUCGGCCUCACCCUCCACCUAACCGCCGGCGCCCUCCUCCGCAUCCGAUCCUCCCCCUUCGCCUUCACCCACCUCCUCCACAGCCGCUACAAAUCCAAGGACGACCUCGCCGCCUAUGCCGUCCAUCCCACCCACAUCAGCGUCGUCAAGGAAGGCCUCCCGUUUUGCGAUGACAUCAUGGCCGUUGACUGGAUUGCGGAUGGGCUGACAGGCCCGGUGG